rnacentral:rRNA from 1 species
UUGGAAAUGGGGGCACCCUGAUCCAGCGACGCCGCGUGUGUGAAGAAGGCCUGCGGGUUGUAAAGCACUUUUAGUGGGGAUGAAAAGCUCAGGGUUAAUACCUCUGGGUCUUGACCUAACCCACAGAAAAAGCACCGGCUAACUCUGUGCCAGCAGCCGCGGUAAUACAGAGGGUGCAAGCGUUAAUCGGAAUUACUGGGCGUAAAGCGUACGUAGACGGUUAGGUAAGUCGGAUGUGAAAGCCCCGGGCUCAACCUGGGAAUUGCAUUCGAGACUGCGUAGCUAGGGUGCGGAAGAGGGAAGCGGAAUUCCAGGUGUAGCGGUGAAAUGCGUAGAUAUCUGGAGGAACACCAGUGGCGAAAGCGGCUUCCUGGUCCAGCACCGACGUUCAGGUACGAAAGCAUGGGGAGCAAACAGGAUUAGAUACCCUGGUAGUCCAUGCCAUAAACGAUGAGAACUAGACGUUGAGAGGGUAAGCCUCCCAGUGUCGUAGCUAACGCGCUAAGUUCUCCGCCUGGGGAGUACGGCCGCAAGGUUGAAACUCAAAAAAAUUGACGGA